GAGUCAGGCCUGCCCAGUGAAAAUAUUAAACGGCCGCGGUACCCUGACCGUGCAAAGGUAGCAUAAUCACUUGCCUUAUAAUUGAAGGCUAGUAUGAAUGGUUAAACGAGAGCAAUACUGUCUCUUUUCUAUUCUCAAGAAUUUAACCUUUAGGUGAAGAGGCCUAAAUCUGAUUGAAGGACAAGAAGACCCUGUCGAGCUUAAAAGAUCUUGUAGAAGUUCAUAUACUUUUAAAUAAAUUUACACAAAAGCUUUUUAGUUGGGGCGACUGAGGAACAAAAGAAGCUUCUUAAAAUAGACAAACAACCAAGUUUAGAUCCGGACCUAACCGAUUAAAGAAAUUAGUUACCGCAGGGAUAACAGCAUAAUCUCUCUUGAGAGACCUAAUCGAAAGAGGGGGUUGUGACCUCGAUGUUGGACUAAAAUAUCCUAAAGAUGCAGAAGUCUUUGAGGGUC
rnacentral:rRNA from 2 species